rnacentral:rRNA from 2 species
ACAUGCAGUCGAGCGAACUGAUUAGAAGCUUGCUUCUAUGACGUUAGCGGCGGACGGGUGAGUAACACGUGGGCAACCUGCCUGUAAGACUGGGAUAACUUCGGGAAACCGAAGCUAAUACCGGAUAGGAUCUUCUCCUUCAUGGGAGAUGAUUGAAAGAUGGUUUCGGCUAUCACUUACAGAUGGGCCCGCGGUGCAUUAGCUAGUUGGUGAGGUAACGGCUCACCAAGGCAACGAUGCAUAGCCGACCUGAGAGGGUGAUCGGCCACACUGGGACUGAGACACGGCCCAGACUCCUACGGGAGGCAGCAGUAGGGAAUCUUCCGCAAUGGACGAAAGUCUGACGGAGCAACGCCGCGUGAGUGAUGAAGGCUUUCGGGUCGUAAAACUCUGUUGUUAGGGAAGAACAAGUACGAGAGUAACUGCUCGUACCUUGACGGUACCUAACCAGAAAGCCACGGCUAACUACGUGCCAGCAGCCGCGGUAAUACGUAGGUGGCAAGCGUUAUCCGGAAUUAUUGGGCGUAAAGCGCGCGCAGGCGGUUUCUUAAGUCUGAUGUGAAAGCCCACGGCUCAACCGUGGAGGGUCAUUGGAAACUGGGGAACUUGAGUGCAGAAGAGAAAAGCGGAAUUCCACGUGUAGCGGUGAAAUGCGUAAAGAUGUGGAGGAACACCAGUGGCGAAGGCGGCUUUUUGGUCUGUAACUGACGCUGAGGUGCGAAAGCGUGUU